CAGUUAGACUUGAUGAUCUCAAAGCUCUUUUCCACCCUAAAUGAUUCUGUGAUUCUUUAUUAUUGUACAGGUUUUCCAGUCGAUAGAAUCAGUGUUCACAGGCAGGAUUUGCUGUAUUUAACUCAGGUGCCUUUUACUCAGUCUUAAAUGAGUAAUUUAAUUUCAUUCUCAUGAAAGCUGGAUGCUCUUUGCACAGAUUAAAGGAUAAAGAAACGCUUUUCCCUGCAUUUCAGCCCACAUAUAUAUGUGAGUGGAUGCUUAUCACAGACAGAAGGUAUCAGCCACCAGUUUAUACUGGGAGACAGCUUGGUAUAAAUAACAAAUCCUCUAAUUAAAAGCCAACAGAUCCUAAUUGACUUAUUUUAGUCCUUAAACUGGGAUCAGCCUUUCUCUCUUGCUACGGCAUGGAGCAUCCUUUGUUUAACAAACACUAAGGGGGAACAGAGUGAGGGAGGAAAAAACAGCCCUUCUGAGAGGCUGCAGCCGUGUGCAAGUGUUUGAAGUUGUUAUUUUAGGAGCUUAUUUUAGUGACUUUUGAGCUGAGCAUUGAGAAUAUAUAGAGCAGCAUUUAGGGAAAAUGCUAAUGUGGUGGUGGCUUCCUUUACCAUGAACUGCAGCUCUGCCAGCAAAGCUGAAAUGUGCCAUUUAAGGAACACCGAAGCUUUGAGGGAAGUUUGAACUCAGCUGGAUUUAGAAACUUGCUGGAGUGCACCGGAUGCUGGGGGAAACCAGAACACACUUUCUGGAUUGUCAGACCAAAGGCAGGAAGGUUCCCACAAAGCCCUCCUCCUUGUGGAGCUUCUGUUUCUUAUUUAGAUUUUGUUUUUUAAUACCCAAAAAGCUUUUAGUGGUAUUCUGACAAUGGGGGCCUGGAAAUUGGGCUAAAUUAAAACAGGUUUUGUUUGUUUACUUAGAAGUGCUAACAGACUCAGACAGUCCCACUGCAUUUUCAGGGCUUACAUCAUUCUAAAAUAGAUUUAAUAGAUUCAAAACAAAUUUGAUAAUGAAGUAACUUCCACUUGGUGUGUUUGCAUCUAUUCCAAAGGAAAAGCUCAGCCUUGUGAGGUGUGCUGAACUGCAUUUGAUAUGAAAUAGUAAGAAGUUUAUUUUAGUUGCAGGAAAAUAUAAGAGAACGUGAGGAAUUAAAUGAACCAGUUGGAAGAUGGGAGAUCAAAUGCAAGAGAAGUUGGGAGCCUGAUCCUCAGGCCAGAGUCUGUCCUGAAUUGCACUGCUACAAGCUGAAGAGAACAGAAUUCCAUUCUAAGAAUGCAGGUAACUGGUGAUACCCAAA